GAUGGCAUUUAUUGUCACCUGCGGGGACGGGGACAGGGACAGGGGUGGCACUGGGCAGGGGACACCGGGGGUGACACUGCGGUGUCACCAGGGGUGGCUUGGGGUGACGGGGACAGUGCUGCUGGGGACAGUGCCACUGGGGAGGGGACAGUGCCACCCUGAAUGUGACACUGCCACUGGGGAGGGGACACCGGGAAUGGGACCCUGAAGAUGACACUGCCACCAGGGAGGUGACAGUGCCACCGUGGAGGGGACAGUGCCACUGGGGAUGGCAUCUGGAGGGGAUAUUGCCACCAUGGAGGUGACACUGCCAC